rnacentral:rRNA from 1 species
UACGUAGGGUCCGAGCGUUGUCCGGAAUUACUGGGCGUAAAGAGCUCGUAGGUGGUUUGUCGCGUUGUUCGUGAAAACUCACAGCUCAACUGUGGGCGUGCGGGCGAUACGGGCAGACUAGAGUACUGCAGGGGAGACUGGAAUUCCUGGUGUAGCGGUGGAAUGCGCAGAUAUCAGGAGGAACACAGGUGGCGAAGGCGGGUCUCUGGGCAGUAACUGACGCUGAGGAGCGAAAGCGUGGGGAGCGAACAGG